UUGUGAGCGUUGGGUUUCACCAACCUGGUUUGUUUUUUAUCCUACCCAGGCCAUGACAUGGGUCUGUUUCGAUAUUUUCUGUGUUGUGUUGCCGCCAAACGGAAGACAAGAACACCUAGACGAGGGCACAGAGUUUUACAGAACUGGUUAAAUCACGGAAUCCAAAAACCAACAUACAACGAAUGACACUUGACAAGCUACAGUUCCUGUCAAUCUACAGAAAAUCAGACUGCACAGACAAAACUAUACGUCUCUUUCAAUCAAGAAUAUUUUAUCAUCCUCUGCUUGUCAUCCUUGUUCCCAAAGCUGCUAAGAACAAAUCUUGACCACCAGGCAUUUUCAAUUGAAAUCUCUGUAAGCUACCCUCUCAUCUUGAUUUAGUUACUCUGAUUCUAAUUGAUUACUGGGCCUGGGUCAUACGAGCUUUUUCCAGAUCUUUUAUUCAAACCCACUUGGGCUACACUACUAUAUGCUAGGCCCAUAAGAGAAACUUCUACUACCACCUCGGCCCCAUUGUUUUUCAUCCUUGUCAAUGUUAUUCGAUGCUUCUUCUAAACAGCAAUGCAUCGUCACCGCUUCUCCACCGGAAUUUCAGAAAUGAAUUAGGGUCAACAUUAGCAAGCUGUAUGAGGGCGGAUUAUUUUAUGACCGGACAUGGUUAAUGGAUUCAGAGCAGUGGGAUGGGCUUCUGGGGUAGAUAAGUGUGCAAGGAGUCGAAGUCCAUGUUGAGGGGACAUUGCAAGAAGGAGAACCGGUUCCUGGACUUAUUUAGGUGAUAGGCAGAAGAACCAUUGAGUGUGCAAUCUUUGUUUCAUUAUAUUUGAAGGUCACGAUGAAGAGCUAGAGAUGGAGCAUGGACCUCCAUAUUUGGGGGGUUUAGCCUUAGAGAUUCGUUGAUAACCAUGCUCAUCUACUAGGAAAG